rnacentral:rRNA from 1 species
UCAAAACUUUCAACAACGGAUCUCUUGGUUCUGGCAUCGAUGAAAGAACGCAGCGAAAUGCGAUAAGUAAUGUGAAUUUGCAAGAAUUUCAGUGAAAUCAUCCAAAUCUUUUGAAACGCCACAUUUGGCGCCCCGCCCAGUAAUUUCUGGGCGGGGCAUGGC